GUGCUCACUUUGCAGGUCCUACACUAAAACUGGAACGAUACAGAGAUCAGCAUGGCCACUGCAUAAGGAUGACUCGAAAAUUCAUGAAGCAUUCCAUAUAUCU
ensembl:snRNA U6 U6 spliceosomal RNA